rnacentral:misc_RNA from 1 species
CAACGAUUUGGACGACGGUGGUGGAUGAUGGUUAUUUGUUGCAGUGGUGGGCUUCUUGACUUGAGCCGAGAGAAACCAAGGCGUUUAAUGUUGCUGUGAGGAAGUGAUUCACAAGAUAGGGAAAUCUCUCGAAAAACUUCUUUGUGUCUGUAUAGUGAAUACCCAAAGUGGCAAGGUAUUGCCGAAAGUGAACUUGCAUCUCUUAUUGGGAAAAGGGCUCAAAUCCGUAAAUGGCAUAUUUGUUUGAUGUAGGCAUGAAUUCCCAAAUUUUCUUAUGUUCGUUCUGAAUCAGAAUAGAGCGAUCCAGAAAAGGUCCUAUCAACGGAGAGUUACCCAAAAACAUAAAGUUUUAUAUCCACUUCAUUAACCGGUAGAGAAACAUGCAGGCAUAAAGCAUCCAUAAACCCAAUCUGUCCUUCAUGGGUGAGAUCUACUUCUUCAAAUUUCCCAAUAAGAUUGCCAAUAAGUUGAGCAUUCUUGGCAUUGAUUUGGUUUGGUGGAAGACCCAAAGCAUGGAUCCAGAAGGGAGUGUUAAAAAGACAGCUCCUCUAGUGGUGUAUCCGGUGGCCAUUCCUGGAUGGAUAAUAAGUGCUGGUUGUGUACUGUUCAUGGUCGAUUUUCAAAAACAAAUUUUGCAUCUACCUCAUGCUCAAAGGUAAAUAAGAGAAUGUUGUUUCUUCUUGUUGUUACUUAAAAACCAAAACGUGUUUGCCAAGAUUUUGUAAAGGACGCUCGGAUAGUUG